rnacentral:SRP_RNA from 6 species
GCCUUAAGGCAAUGGUGACUUUCCAAAUUGUGUCAGGUCCGGAAGGAAGCAGCACUAAGGUAAGCUCGUCAUGUGCCUUUUGUUAUU